AAGGACAGGCAUGAACCGGUUCCCGAUAUGUUGGAGAUCAGCAGAUGACCCUGGAACUGGAAACUUUUCACUUCGGAUCAACCCAAAAGGAUCACCACAGGUCUUUAUCUAUUGGGGUAUAAAAUAUAUUUGGCGAGGCUUUCCUUGGCCCUUGAAAAGUUGUACAGAUAUAUCCAAUGUUAGUUUUGUCAACAAUCAAAAUGAGACAUAUAUGACCUACUCUGUUUCUGAUGCUUCUGUUAUCCUAAGGGUAAUGUUGGACUAUUCAGGACUAGUUAAGAAUCUAAUUUGGCAUGAAAAAGAUGGCAAAUGGAAUGAAUUCUGGUCGGUACCAAAAUCUCCGUGUGAUCCAUAUGGGC
rnacentral:misc_RNA from 1 species